CAGCUCAAAUUUGAAAUCUGGCUCUCGGGCCCGAGUUGUAAUUUGUAGAGGAUACUUUUGAUGCGGUGCCUUCCGAGUUCCCUGGAACGGGACGCCAUAGAGGGUGAGAGCCCCGUCUGGUUGGAUGCCAAAUCUCUGUAAAGUUCCUUCAACGAGUCGAGUAGUUUGGGAAUGCUGCUCUAAAUGGGAGGUAUAUGUCUUCUAAAGCUAAAUACCGGCCAGAGACCGAUAGCGCACAAGUAGAGUGAUCGAAAGAUGAAAAGCACUUUGAAAAGAGAGUUAAAAAGUACGUGAAAUUGUUGAAAGGGAAGCGUUUAUGACCAGACUUGGGCUUGGUUAAUCAUCUGGGGUUCUCCCCAGUGCACUUUUCCAGUCCAGGCCAGCAUCAGUUUUCCCCGGGGGAUAAAGGCGGCGGGAAUGUGGCUCUCUUCGGGGAGUGUUAUAGCCCACCGUGUAAUACCCUGGGGGGGACUGAGGUUCGCGCAUCUGCAAGGAUGCUGGCGUAAUGGUCAUCAACGACCCGUCUUGAAACACGGACCAAGGAGUCGUCUUCGUAUGCGAGUGU
rnacentral:rRNA from 1 species